rnacentral:rRNA from 1 species
GCUCAGGAUGAACGCUGGCGGCGUGCUUAACACAUGCAAGUCGAACGAUGAACCUCACUUGUGGGGGGAUUAGUGGCGAACGGGUGAGUAACACGUGAGUAACCUGCCCUUGACUCUGGGAUAAGCCUGGGAAACCGGGUCUAAUACUGGAUACGACCUUCCCGCGCAUGCGRUGUUGGUGGAAAGCWUUUGCGGUUUUGGAUGGACUCGCGGCCUAUCAGCUUGUUGGUGGGGUAAUGGCCUACCAAGGCGACGACGGGUAGCCGGCCUGAGAGGGUGACCGGCCACACUGGGACUGAGACACGGCCCAGACUYCUACGGGAGGCAGCAGUGGGGAAUAUUGCACAAUGGGCGCAAGCCUGAUGCAGCGACGCCGCGUGAGGGAUGAAGGCCUUCGGGUUGUAAACCUCUUUCAGUAGGGAAGAAGCCGAUCUUCUGGGUUGGUGACGGU